GUGCUAAUACAUGCAAGUCGAGCGGACUUGAUGAAGUGCUUGCACUUCUGAUGGUUAGCGGCGGACGGGUGAGUAACACGUAGGUAACCUGCCUAUAAGACUGGGAUAACAUUCGGAAACGAAUGCUAAUACCGGAUACGCGAAUUGGUCGCAUGGCCGAAUCGGGAAAGACGGAGCAAUCUGUCACUUAUAGAUGGACCUGCGGCGCAUUAGCUAGUUGGUGAGGUAACGGCUCACCAAGGCGACGAUGCGUAGCCGACCUGAGAGGGUGAUCGGCCACACUGGGACUGAGACACGGCCCAGACUCCUACGGGAGGCAGCAGUAGGGAAUCUUCCGCAAUGGACGAAAGUCUGACGGAGCAACGCCGCGUGAGUGAUGAAGGUUUUCGGAUCGUAAAGCUCUGUUGCCAGGGAAGAACGCUUGGGAGAGUAACUGCUCUCAAGGUGACGGUCCUGAGAAGAAAC
rnacentral:rRNA from 1 species